rnacentral:lncRNA from 1 species
GGUUGUGUAGAAGAAGUUCGGUGAGAUUGAAAGCUUGUGGUAGUUGGAUGAGGUUAGUGGUCGAUUUUGGUGGGAUUUGGUAGUUAGUGAGAUUGUGGGGAGUUAUGAUUUUUAUUUUGGAUUAUUUUGUUUUAAUUUUAUUUUUCCCUAAAAAUCAACUUUCUUUGUAAAGUUUUUUCCUAUUUUCUUUUCUCUACAAUUUUUUUAUUUCUCAUUCAAUUUCGUUCACAAAUCUGUCAUUCAAAUCUUUGCAUUUUGGAUUCCUA